UACAGUGGUGGAGGAUACAGUGGUGCAUGCUGGUAGAGUGAAUUUCUGAGAGAUAAUCAUGAUUUCACAUGCCAAAAUGAAUGAGUUUUAAUGCAGAUGUAUUUCACAACAAUAGAAAUAAAAAAAUCACACUAAUUGUACGAUGUGUUUGAAAAGAUUUAUCUGGUGGUCUGGAGGAAGAGGAGGCCUCACUGCUGCCUCCAGAGCAGGUGCAGUUUGACACGGAUUUCUCUGGUGGUCUGGAGGAAGAGGAGGCCUCACUGCUGGCUCCAGAUCAGGUGCAGUUUGACACGGUUUUCCAUGGUGGAGGCGAUGAGGACUCGGAUGCAGAGCAUUCAUGCUCAGAUGCUGAGGAAGACGCACCUCCAAGGAAAAGACUGAGAGCUGAGAACACCUGGAAGAAAGUCAUCAACAAGAAAAGAAGAAUGGUUGGAAAGUCAUACAUUGGAAAACAGA